GUGUUUCAAACAGAGUUUCUAUGUUUGCCGGUCGUUAUGCGUUGGUUUGUAUUUCAUGAGAGCAAGUUGCUGAAAGAGUCUUAGCAGGUCUGGCUGUGCCUUGGCUGAUAGUGCUUCAUGAAGAGAGGAGUUAUGGAGACUGGAAGUUGGCAGCCUCACUACUCGUGGCUAGCUUCCCAUCCCAAUGCUCAGUGUAAGAGUUCUCUGAGGUGUGAAGGCUGCUUCCCAGACACAGAGCUGCCACCUCCCCUCCUCUACCUGCAGCUGAGUGAGUGAUUAAUAGUGUAUUUGUGUGUGGAUGCAGAUUGUUGGUGGACUUUAUGUUAAGACUGUGUCUGAGACACCAGGUUUGGAAUAAAAACUGAGGGCAUUGUUGUGACAUCCCUUCCCAUA